AACGAACGCUGGCGGCAUGCCUAACACAUGCAAGUCGAACGAGACCUUCGGGUCUAGUGGCGCACGGGUGCGUAACGCGUGGGAACCUGCCCUUAGGUUCGGAAUAACUCCCCGACAGGGGUGCUAAUACCGGAUAAUGUCUUCGGACCAAAGAUUUAUCGCCUUUGGAUGGGCCCGCGUUGGAUUAGCUAGUUGGUAGGGUAAAAGCCUACCAAGGCGACGAUCCAUAGCUGGUCUGAGAGGAUGAUCAGCCACACUGGGACUGAGACACGGCCCAGACUCCUACGGGAGGCAGCAGUGGGGAAUAGUGGAAAAUGGGCGAAAGCCUGAUCCAGCAAUGCCGCGUGAGUGAUGAAGGCCUUAGGGUUGUAAAGCUCUUUUACCCGGGAUGAUAAUGACAGUACCGGGAGAAUAAGCUCCGGCUAACUCCGUG
rnacentral:rRNA from 1 species